UUGCACCUGAUUGACGAUGGAUCACCAGUGAGUGGCGGACGGGUGAGUAACACGUAGGUAACCUGCCCCGGAGCGGGGGAUAACAUUUGGAAACAGAUGCUAAUACCGCAUAACAACAAAAGCCACAUGGCUUUUGUUUGAAAGAUGGCUUUGGCUAUCACUCUGGGAUGGACCUGCGGUGCAUUAGCUAGUUGGUAAGGUAACGGCUUACCAAGGCGAUGAUGCAUAGCCGAGUUGAGAGACUGAUCGGCCACAAUGGAACUGAGACACGGUCCAUACUCCUACGGGAGGCAGCAGUAGGGAAUCUUCCACAAUGGGCGCAAGCCUGAUGGAGCAACACCGCGUGAGUGAAGAAGGGUUUCGGCUCGUAAAGCUCUGUUGUUGGAGAAGAACGUGCGUGAGAGUAACUGUUCACGCAGUGACGGUAUCCAACCAGAAAGUCACGGCUAACUACGUGCCAGCAGCCGCGGUAAUACGUAGGUGGCAAGCGUUAUCCGGAUUUAUUGGGCGUAAAGCGAGCGCAGGCGGUUGCUUAGGUCUGAUGUGAAAGCCUUCGGCUUAACCGAAGAAGUGCAUCGGAAACCGGGCGACUUGAGUGCAGAAGAGGACAGUGGAACUCCAUGUGUAGCGGUGGAAUGCGUAGAUAUAUGGAAGAACACCAGUGGCGAAGGCGGCUGUCUGGUCUGCAACUGACGCUGAGGCUCGAAAGCAUGGGUAGCGAACAGGAUUAGAUACCCUGGUAGUCCAUGCCGUAAACGAUGAGUGCUAGGUGUUGGAGGGUUUCCGCCCUUCAGUGCCGGAGCUAACGCAUUAAGCACUCCGCCUGGGGAGUACGACCGCAAGGUUGAAACUCAAAGGAAUUGACGGGGGCCCGCACAAGCGGUGGAGCAUGUGGUUUAAUUCGAAGCUACGCGAAGAACCUUACCAGGUCUUGACAUCUUGCGCUAACCUUAGAGAUAAGGCGUUCCCUUCGGGGACGCAAUGACAGGUGGUGCAUGGUCGUCGUCAGCUCGUGUCGUGAGAUGUUGGGUUAAGUCCCGCAACGAGCGCAACCCUUGUUACUAGUUGCCAGCAUUAAGUUGGGCACUCUAGUGAGACUGCCGGUGACAAACCGGAGGAAGGUGGGGACGACGUCAGAUCAUCAUGCCCCUUAUGACCUGGGCUACACACGUGCUACAAUGGACGGUACAACGAGUCGCAAGCUCGCGAGAGUAAGCUAAUCUCUUAAAGCCGUUCUCAGUUCGGACUGUAGGCUGCAACUCGCCUACACGAAGUCGGAAUCGCUAGUAAUCGCGGAUCAGCAUGCCGCGGUGAAUACGUUCCCGGGCCUUGUACACACCGCCCGUCACACCAUGGGAGUU
rnacentral:rRNA from 1 species